rnacentral:tRNA from 1 species
GUGAUGGCUCAGUGGUUAAGAGCACUGACUGCUCUUCCAGAGGCCCUGAGUUCAAAUCUCAGCAACCACA